ensembl:lncRNA AFG3L1P AFG3 like matrix AAA peptidase subunit 1, pseudogene
GCGCAUGCGCGCGCCCGGGCGGCGCGGGAUCUGGGUCUGGGGAUGUGGUACCGGCUGCUGGCGGCGGCCGGCAGUAGAGCGGUGGCCAGGCCGCUGGCCUUGCUGUGGCGAUGUGGUGGCCCAGGAGGCGGCAGGACGGCCAAGACCAGCGCGAGGGCCCUGGGCAAGGCCCGACAGUGGUUAUGGCCAGUGAGAAUGUGCGGUGUUGCAUUGCAGAAGAAGCUAGGAAAGCUCAUCUGGCCUCCUGUUCCAGUGCUUCCAGGGGAUCCACGUUCAGAAGCUGACUCUGCAGGCAAGACCGACGUUAUUUUCCUGGUGGCUGUGUUCAAAACCACCCAAAGGUACCUGUCUUUCAUCCACCAUCAUUAACAGCAUGAGGUUUACAGGAACUGAGUGGCUUCCUCAGAGUGUGACUUCUACAGUGAGUGACCAGGGGGCGAGGGUCCAGACAACUCAGGGCACACCCCACUCCACCCCGCCCCAUCCUACCCCUU